GCCCUCCGGUUGAUCCUGGCGGAGGCCAUUGCUAUCGGUGUCCGAUUUAGCCAUGCGAGUUGUACGUUUACCGUAGCAAACUGCUCAGUAACACGUGGCCAAACUGCCCUAUGGACCGGAAUAACCUCGGGAAACUGAGGCUAAUUCCGGAUACCACAUUCAUCCUGGAACUGGAGAAUGUGCGAAAUGCUCCGGCGCCGAAGGAUGCGGCUGCGGCCGAUUAGGUAGACGGUGGGGUAACGGCCACCGUGCCGAUAAUCGGUACGGGUCAUGAGAGUGAGAGCCCGGAGACGG
rnacentral:rRNA from 1 species